UUAAUGGCGAUGAAGGGGAAGAGUACCUUAUUAGCCGGUUGACAGAGAGCCGCUGGCUGGUGGAAAGCGGUAACCGCCAUAGGGGAACUGGCCCCGGAGCUGGAAAGGCGAACCCGCUGGCAGUAGUCUUUCCCGGCCGCCGCCGUUACCGGCAGCAAGGGGAUCGGGCUUUUUGAGUCCGGUCAAUUUGGGUGGUACCGCGGAAGCAAGGCCUUUCGUCCCAAGG
rnacentral:ncRNA from 1 species